UCUUGAUAUUCAUAGCACAGUGGCACCACUCCAAUCCAUUCCGAACUUGGCUGUUAAACUCUGUUGCGACGAUGAUACUUAAAAGCAAACUUUUUGGGAAAGUAGUUCAAUAUCAAGA
rnacentral:rRNA from 1 species